GCCCCAGUCAGGGUGGAGCGC
rnacentral:misc_RNA from 1 species